rnacentral:rRNA from 1 species
UACGGAGGGGGUUAGCGUUGUUCGGAAUUACUGGGCGUAAAGCGCACGUAGGCGGACUGGAAAGUUGGGGGUGAAAUCCCGGGGCUCAACCCCGGAACUGCCUCCAAAACUUCCAAUCUAGAGAUCGAGAGAGGUGAGUGGAAUUCCAAGUGUAGAGGUGAAAUUCGUAGAUAUUUGGAGGAACACCAGUGGCGAAGGCGGCUCACUGGCUCGAUACUGACGCUGAGGUGCGAAAGCGUGGGGAGCAAACAGGAUUAGAAACCCUAGUAGUCC